GUGGUGUAGUCUGCUUAGCGCGCAGCUACCUCACGGUUUUGCACCAGCUUGGUGGCGGUUGUGGGAUGCUCUGCUGUGAAAACGGAGCUGUGGGCCCCCCGGAGCGUGGCAGCCAGAUCCCCUGGUGGUGGUCCCCCCUUUUCCGUUGCUGUGAAGUGCACUCUGGGUGUUUUGGUUUGGUGUAUCACAAGGUGUUUUGAGUUGAGCCCCAUUUUCCUGCUGGCUGCCUGGUAAGCCCCAGCCCUUGUCCUUCCCGUAUGCUUAGUUUCUUUGUUUCUUUUGUUUGCCAGCAAUAUCUGCCAAUUCUUUUAAUGAGUAUUUGAUAUCUUUCUUAAUUAUUAAAAAUAAAACUGUAAUAUUGGGGAAA